CCUACGGGUGGCAGCAGUAGGGAAUAUUGCUCAAUGGGGGAAACCCUGAAGCAGCAACGCCGCGUGGAGGAUGAAGGUUUUCGGAUUGUAAACUUCUUUUGUUAGAGAAGAAAAUGACGGUAUACAACGAAUAAGGAAUGGCUAACUCCGUGCCAGCAGCCGCGGUAAUACGGAGGGCGCAAGCGUUACUCGGAAUCACUGGGCGUAAAGAGCGAGUAGGCGGGAUAGCAAGUCAGAUGUGAAAUCCUAUGGCUUAACCAUAGAACUGCAUUUGAAACUGUUACUCUAGAGUAUGGGAGAGGUAGGUGGAAUUCUUGGUGUAGCGGUAAAAUCCGUAGAGAUCAGGAGGAAUACUCAUUGCGAAGGCGGCCUGCUAGAACAUUACUGACGCUGAGGCGCGAAAGCGUGGGGAGCAAACAGGAUUAGAUACCCGAGUAGUC
rnacentral:rRNA from 1 species